rnacentral:piRNA from 1 species
UCCACCUGAUCUACUUGACCCAAUCACCAUGC